GGAUGAACGCUGGCGGCGUGCCUACUCCAUGCAAGUCGAGCGAACAGAUGAGGAGCUUGCUCCUCUGACGUUAGCGGCGGACGGGUGAGUAACACGUGGAUAACCUACCUAUAAGACUGGGAUAACUUCGGGAAACCGGAGCUAAUACCGGAUAAUAUAUUGAACCGCAUGGUUCAAUAGUGAAAGACGGUUUUGCUGUCACUUAUAGAUGGAUCCGCGCCGCAUUAGCUAGUUGGUAAGGUAACGGCUUACCAAGGCAACGAUGCGUAGCCGACCUGAGAGGGUGAUCGGCCACACUGGAACUGAGACACGGUCCAGACUCCUACGGGAGGCAGCAGUAGGGAAUCUUCCGCAAUGGGCGAAAGCCUGACGGAGCAACGCCGCGUGAGUGAUGAAGGUCUUCGGAUCGUAAAACUCUGUUAUUAGGGAAGAACAAAUGUGUAAGUAACUAUGCACGUCUUGACGGUACCUAAUCAGAAAGCCACGGCUAACUACGUG
rnacentral:rRNA from 1 species